UGCAGUCGAGCGAACUUUUGGGAGCUUGCUCCCAAAAGUUAGCGGCGGACGGGUGAGUAACACGUGGGCAACCUGCCUAUAAGACUGGGAUAACUUCGGGAAACCGGAGCUAAUACCGGAUAACAUAUGAGACCACAUGGUCUCAUAUUGAAAGAUGGCUUUUAGCUAUCACUUAUAGAUGGGCCCGCGGCGCAUUAGCUAGUUGGUGAGGUAAUGGCUCACCAAGGCAACGAUGCGUAGCCGACCUGAGAGGGUGAUCGGCCACACUGGGACUGAGACACGGCCCAGACUCCUACGGGAGGCAGCAGUAGGGAAUCUUCCGCAAUGGACGAAAGUCUGACGGAGCAACGCCGCGUGAGCGAAGAAGGUCUUCGGAUCGUAAAGCUCUGUUGUUAGGGAAGAACAAGUACCGUUCGAAUAGGGCGGUACCUUGACGGUACCUAACCAGAAAGCCACGGCUAACUACGUGCCAGCAGCCGCGGUAAUACGUAGGUGGCAAGCGUUAUCCGGAAUUAUUGGGCGUAAAGCGCGCGCAGGCGGUCCUUUAAGUCUGAUGUGAAAGCCCACGGCUCAACCGUGGAGGGUCAUUGGAAACUGGGGGACUUGAGUGCAGAAGAGGAGAGCGGAAUUCCACGUGUAGCGGUGAAAUGCGUAGAGAUGUGGAGGAACACCAGUGGCGAAGGCGGCUCUCUGGUCUGUAACUGACGCUGAGGCGCGAAAGCGU
rnacentral:rRNA from 1 species